CAUGGAACUCGAGUGACGCAGAUAUAUUCCUUGUUUAAAUUUGACUGAACAUCUAAUCGCAGUUACAGCUGGUGGCAAAGAACUAACAGUAGAAUUGCAGCAGGUGUUCAAGUACUUAUGGACGCUAGCGUAUACACGUACUAUGAUUACGUAGAAUCGAAUCUAUAGUCUGUGCUGCGUAUUUGACGAAAUCGCUUUAAAACGGUAGUGGAUUUGAACGCGUACGACUUUCACCGAACAUUAAAUCAUAUCGGUCGUUAUAAAUAAUAGCAAAUAGCAAUACAGUGUCGUGAUUGUUCAUAUCGAUGACUUCGUAAGACUGUCUAAGGGAACGACUACGGAGAAGAAGCAGGAAUCGCGUAGAAUGGAAUGCGGCAGUUUCUACUCGAAAAAUCCGAGAGAAGGAAAAACUAAAAGCGUACAAGUGCAACGAACUGCGACGAGGACGAUUACGGAAUAUCGCGAGAGCCGACGGCAGCAGGAGGAAAACGUUGCGUCAAUUUGGCGGAGAUCCGACGUGCCAGCGGCCGAAAGAAAAACGCAUCCACGAGGCGAGCUUGGAGACAAGCCAACUCGUGUCGUUUCCAUUUACGCGAAACUUUUCAGCCGUGGUUCGCUACUCUCUGUGUCUAGAUGCUAUACGUUGUGUCCGUUGCACCAGGCUCGCGCUUUCUAACGGCGAAUUUACCUCGUUAAAUCGUGAGCAACGUACCGGACUCGAGAAAAACUAGCGUCCCCGUCUGUCCGCGUUGCUCACGAGGGGGAGAGAGGACGCACGCAACAGUUUCAACCCUGUGGAAAAUCGUCGGACAGAGAGCGAAGAGACAAAGGUCCGCGCGAUCCGCUCGACGCAUGGCAGUGGACCGACAUAAUAGUCGUUGUUGCAUUAUACUCCCCGGCUUCCCCUACGUAAUCGCGAUAUCGGUUCAACGGCCAUGCGAAAUUAACUUUCUCCGGCGCGGGUCUGCCAACGAGAAGCCCACUAGAAGCAGCAUGGUUACUACAUAUACAUUAGAUUGCCAGCGAUGUGCUCGAACCGCUUUCAAACCGAUUCCAUCAUUUUUAAUAUCGAACAUAAGGUAAAUUCGAUUAACCGGUUUCUCUUCAGUGGGAUAUUCGAUUAAUAACUCGGCGAAUGGUUAACGUAGACCGGAUACAAUGGCACUUAAUCGGCAUGGCGAAACUGCAUAGAUAUUGAUGUAAUUAACGUGCGGUUGAGAAUAACCGAGACUGAUUUUAUGUCUUCGGUCCAUGCUGAUAGCUGAUGAUGAUUUUAAUGCGUUACGUUGUGAGGAUCAGCUGUAGAGAACGAGUAGAGGUUGCUCUUCAAGUACAUCAUUUCUGCAAUACUACGUUGAUUCUAUAAUUGGAUGUUGCUUUGUAAUUAACUGUUAAAGCGCUAUAUAUUUGUAAUUUUAAGUGUAUCUAACGUGUUAAUCGAGAAAGUUCAGCUAACGGCUUAUUUAUUUAGAAAUCCCCUAUCUUUUUAUGCCACAAAUACCGUUACAAAUCAAUUACGUUUACAAAGAUUAAAACUGUCCUAACCAAAAUUCCUCUAUCUUCGUUAACAAUCUUUUAUUUCGUAAUUAUAGAAGUGGCAGAAUUAAGGAAUAAUUUCUUUAACAAGGAUAAAAUUGGAUAUGAAAGUUACCGUUUAAUUUUAAAGUUUUCAAGACCUCGAGUGUAUCAGUGAAUCGUAAAGCAUUCGAGUGGUUCUAAAAGCGAACGUGGCUCGUAAGAUUUCGAGUUGCCAUUGCUGGCGUUGCACAGGAAUCGGAACAACAGGUCGAUGCAAUUAGUCACUGGAUACCGUGAUUCCCACACGGUGAUUCCUUUUCGAAUGGGGUUAGGGAACAUAGGUCAGGAACGAUUCAUUUGUCCAAUCGAAGUCUGAAAAUAUUUCAUUAUAUGUUAGAAAAAUUUCAAAAGACUGUUCACAUCAAAAUCUUGAUAAUACGCAUAACGAAACGGGCAUAAAAGAUUUUCCAAUUGUAAUAUACAAACUGAUUUAAUGAGGUUAUACAAUACAUCGGGUUGCAUCACAUAGUCGCAAUGUUUGUUAACUGGUCUAACAUCGAAACACAGUAACAAUACUAAACGCGAACAUGUUACUUUCUCCUCGACCGAUUAUUUUACAUACGAACUAUUCGCGCUUGUAAAAUUAAUCGCAUGAAUCCUCCGUUGAGGAAACCAAUUUAACUAAAACCUGGUCGAGCAGAGGAGAAACGGUAUCUUCAUAAUACUUGAAAUUUUUAUACUGACGCUUUAUGGGUAAUUCGUCCCUCUGGCGGUGAAUAUGAGAACUACGAAUGUAGUGAACAUAAACAUUUGAAAAUUAAAAAAUUCUAAACUAUCAAAACUCUACAAUUCAAAAAUUUCAGAAGCUCAGAAAUAUCAAAAAUCUAAGAUUCGAAAGAUUUGAAAACUUGAAAAUUCCAAAACUUUUAUAUUUGAAAAUUCUAAAAUUCAUCUAAUAUAUCACAGAUACUAAAAGUAGAUUACAGAGUUAACAGGUUGAAUUUAAGCGAGCACGCAAAUGCCUCUAACAGCUGACGAUUGCUCUCUUUCCGGUGGUUCAACGAUAUUAGAGAAAUUCGCACGUUGUCUCCACACGUGGUAACGCGCAGCUAAAUAUACGCGACUAAUGACUGUUACGAAAUGUCAAGCAGAAGCUACCGAGUAGUGGGUCAGUCGUAAAGUCAGAUUCUGUUUCGCGUGUGUUCCCUAACAAGCGAUUAGUUUCGAGGAGAAAGGUGUCGAUUUUCAAUGGGUAUCGAUUUUCAAUGGGUAUCGAUGAUCGAGUCUGUACGCAACAAAAUAGUUGUACUCACUACAUUUUAACUUUAUUUAAGUAGAUACGUUACAAAAUAAAUUAGACAUAAAAUAAAUUGCCCGCCAAUAACAAUUCUUUGCAAUGUGAAGACUUAGAAAGUUCUAUCGCGAGAUAUGUGAAGCGGAAAAACUUAGAAUUGACCCUCUCAACUGGAGGCGAGACAAAAACAGCGUACGGAUCUUUAAGAUGAAAUAUACAGUGGCUUAUUUUUAGUCACAUUUUAUGAACAUAUUAUGUGCGUUAUACGAAAUAUUUUUAAAUUGUAUUAACACUGUUAUGAGACUUGGCUAUCAUGAUUAUGUUAAUCAAAUAUGAAACAAGUCUGAAAAUACAUAUAGAAAUUACAAGAUAUUUAGCAUCUACGAGUAUAUAAUUCACAGAGAUGACAAAAGCAUUUAAACAGUCAAUUAUCGAUUACAUUAAUAAAACUCGAUAUUCAGUUGGUCUAUCUUUAACAAAUAUUGUAUAUACUUAAGAUGGCUAUUUAUGCUGUAUACUAAUUUCUUACUAAAUAUCAGUUUACAGUAAAUAUCUUGCAACUUGUAUAUACAUUUCAGAUUUCAAAUUGUACCGAUAUAAUCAUAUGUUGUUAUUAAUACCAAUGGAAUAUCAAAAUGUUUUACAUAACAUAUACGAUACGCACAUAAAAGUUUUCUAUGGGGGUUAUUGAGGAAAUCGAUGAUGGAGAUCUAUUCUUUGCCGGAGGAACAAGCUAGUAGAAGGAAAUAUCGACGAAAGUUCGCUGGCGGCUGGCGUAUACUGCGCAAAUGCUCUCCCGCCUCUCGGAAUAUUACUUGGUUGCCCAAGGUUGCCGUUCGUUCUGCUCACGACUCGAGCAUUAUGCACGUGUAUAGAUAUAUCAGCUACGCACUUACAGCAAUAUACCUCUACACCAACGUAUUUACGAUACACGCUUAGAAGAUCUAUCUCUUUAUCGUGCACAUACACCAGGAGAGUACAUAUCAGCGUUUCCCAACCAUUUUUCUAUUCCGUUAAAACUUACUUUACUUUACUUACCACGUGCAAUACGUGUUUUCUUUAUCGUUAACUAUAGUAUAAUGAGACAUUCGAUGAAGCUAGUGAAUAAUUCAAGAUGACUCUAACAGGUUGAACCGAGACAAAGUCGAGCUGAAAAACGAGAUUGGGAAACUCUGUAAGCGCAAUGCACCUAUUCUUUGUUCAUUUCUCGGCUUUUAAGAGCGUGCCUCGCAUCGGUGCACGGCAAUUAUUGACGUGUGUGUGAAAACCAAGAGAUACACCGAGCACCGUAUAUUCUAUGUAUGUAUAUACGAGAGUAUAUGCGCGUCUGAUUGGUACCAGGACUACCAGGGCCUCUCCCUUCCGAACAAACGACGAUGGUUCAAGUUGGUCGCUUGCACGACAUGGAUCAACGAUUUAACGUGAACAUAAAACAGAACAGUCUCUCUCGAUCUCUGCGGUCAGAUCUUUCCAAAUCGAUCGAUCGCUUCCCCGAUACGCGGAAUCUCACUUUCUCUGAAACUCUGUUUUCUUUUCCCUUUGUCUUGCUGCUCACCGUGAAGCAUGUUUUGAGAAUUAAUCGAGAUAUAAAAACAAUAUCAGGCAAAUCUUAAUUCGAAAAUGGAAGAAUAAUUACUUAUCCACUUGGAGAAAUCAUUUUCCAUGAAGAAGAAAAAUACGGGUAGUUCCUGUUUCUUUUAGAAUGUUCGUUGGUAAGAAACGGUAAUACAAAAAACCAUUCGUAAUUUUUAUGUUAACGAAUGAGUAAAUUAAUUACUUCCCGUUUCAUAGCGUUUUAAAUAUGAAGACAUAUUCUCGUUCAUAUGUGUAUGUAAUAUGUUAUAUAGAUAUGACUGAGAUGUCAUUCGAUGAUAUUGAUAUCUUAUAUAUUUUAUUCAUUCAUAUACAUCUAUAUAUAACAUAUAAAUGUAUAUAUCAUUAUACACAUACGAACGACACGUUAUACGUAACAAAUCAUUGUCUUUCUAUAGUUGAGAAUCGAUUGAAAGUUUGUCCAUUUAUACUCUGAUUAAAUAAUGCACGACCGCGCACGUUGCUUUCUAAUCAUUUAUUUACGCGAAUAUUUUCGAUGUGGAAACGCAUCUAUUAUAAUCGUAAACUUUAUAGAAGCAUCAUUCGUGGAGUUGAAUCGCUUUCGUUUACAUAAUCUACGUCUUCCGUAAGCACAGCGUGUAAAAUGACCGAUAGAAUUCCUGUAAAUGGAAAUUUUUAUUGAAUAAUCUCCACGAAGAGAUUGAUUCUUUACAAAGAACACGAUAAUAAUGACGUGUUAUCGCUAUUUCAUUUCAUUGAUUUCACAACCCAGAACAAUUACGAAGCAUCGAACAUUUGUAUUUUGUCAUGAAUGAUCAUGAAAAAUUAAGUAUAAAAUAUGUUAAUUCAAAUAAAAGAGAUACUUAUUUUUUGGAAUAAUUAUAGAAAAUGGAGAGUAUAGCAGUAAAUAAGUUAAUCAAAGAAAAUUAAGAAUCGAGAAAUUAAUGAUAUAAAAUCUGUAUUCGAAACGCUGCUGUUUAAUGCUGCAUAAAUUCGCGCUAUCUUAUGUCCGAACGUGUUAAAGUACUGUUCCUUUCAAUUGCGUUGGCCUUGAGGUUAGUAGACAAGGAACGACGCAAUUCUCACGAUUAAUGCUCUUUGUCCGAUCUUCUUUCACGCUCUAUUAUCGUUCGACUUUAUGUUGUAACGUACUCUGAAGGUUAAUAAAAGAAACUUCUAAUUUGUUCUUCUAUUACAA